CAGCAGCCGCGGGAAUACGUAGGGUGCAAGCGUUGUCCGGAGUUAUUGGGCGUAAAGAGCUUGUAGGCGGCUUGUCACGUCGGAAGUGAAAACUCGGGGCUCAACCCCGAGCCUGCUUCCGAUACGGGCUAGCUAGAGGAAGGUAGGGGAGAAUGGAAUUCCGGGUGGAGCGGUGGAAUGCGCAGAUAUCCGGAGGAACACCAGUGGCGAAGGCGGCUCUCUGGACCUUUCCUGACGCUGAGAAGCGAAAGCGCGGGGAGCAAACAGGCUUAGAUACCCCGGUAGUCCCUGUCUCUUAUAA
rnacentral:rRNA from 1 species